ACAGACCCCGACCCUCACCAAAACUAUCAAAAGAGAGCACUUGCUGUUAGACAUAACCCUGGAUACCAGUCUCUUUAGCUAAUAUUCCACUCAUUGCCAAUCCUUGUCAUUGCCAAAGACACAGGCCUUCAAUUAUGAACAGUCCAUUUAUUGCAUGUUUAUCACCAGCCAAUGUGACCAGUCACACCAGAGAAGCUCUCGCCCUUCAAACUUCCCCGCCAGUUCAUUGUGAGCGCUGGAGCCUGAAGCCUAUUUUAUGUCCAGUAAGAGGAAGGUACUUUUUCCCUCUAAUAUAUAUAUACAUACAUAUUUAUUUAUUGCUAAAAGUAGGUGACAGAACUACUGUAGUUUGCUACUUCUGGGACAUGAUUGGGCUAAAAGUAGGUGCCAGAACUACUGUAGUUUGCUACUUCUGGGACAUGAUUGGGCUAAAAGUAGGUGACAGAACUACUGUAGUUGGCUACUUCUGGGACAUGAUUGGGCUAAAAGUAGGUGACAGAACUACUGUAGUUGGCUACUUCUGGGACAUGAUUGGGCUAAAAGUAGGUGACAGAACUACUGUAGUUGGCUACUUCUGGGACAUGCUUGGGCUAAAAGUAGGUGACAGAACUACUGUAGUUGGCUACUUCUGGGACAUGAUUGGGCUAAAAGUAGGUGACAGAACUACUGUAGUUUGCUACUUCUGGGACAUGAUUGGGCUAAAAGUAGGUGACAGAACUACUGUAGGUGGCUACUUCUGGGACAUGCUUGGGCUAAAAGUAGGUGACAGAACUACUGUAGGUGGCUACUUCUGGGACAUGAUUGGGCUACUGGUUGAGAGGAAUACAGGGAGGUUGGAAGAGAGAGAGGCCAGCGGAGAUGCAUGAAUUGCGUAAGAAUGAAACAGUGAAAACAGACGGUUUAUUUUUAUGUUACAUUUUAACACGGAAGACAUAUUGAGGUCUAGGUCUCUUUUUUCAAAUGCUGUGUAACACAACAUAAAUAUACAUACAUAUACACAACCGUUCAAAAGUUUGGGAAAGAAAGAAAUUCAUUAAAAUAACAUCAAAUUGA